GAGGGUAGAGCUCAGUGGUAGAGCACGUGCUUGGCAAGCACAAGGUCCCGGGUUCAAUCCCCAGUACCUCCA
rnacentral:tRNA from 1 species